rnacentral:rRNA from 1 species
UACGGAGGGGGCUAGCGUUGUCCGAAGUUACUGGGCGUAAAGCGCGCGUAGGCGGGUUGGUAAGUCCGCUGUGAAAGCCCGGAGCUCAACUCCGGAGGGUCGGUGGAUACUGCCAGUCUUGAAGGUGCUAGGGGGAGAUGGAAUUACCGGUGUAGCGGUGAAAUGCGUAGAUAUCGGUAGGAACACCAGUGGCGAAGGCGGCAUUCUGGACCGAUAUUGACGCUGAGGAGCGAAAGCCAGGGGAGCAAACGGG